AUACUUUUAUCAAGACAUGAAAUAGAAGACUGUAAGUAGAAUAAUAGGGAGAAAUUACAGACAUGAAAAGUCUACUACUUGCUGGCAAUUGGAUAGUUGAGUUGCCUACAGCAUAACACAAGUUCAUCCUGUAAGUCAAUCAAAUUCCCACCCUUCUCUUCACCUUCUCUCUUUCUGUUACUUUGAAGGUUUCUUACACUUUGCUUAUCCUGUAUAUAUAGGAUGCUCUUGGUUCUCUUUGGUACUUUUCUCUUCUCAUACACCAUUUUCUUCUUUGGUAAUCAUAUACAUUUCCACAACUUCAACUGUCAUCUCCAGGCCAAUGAUUCUCCAUAAUCAGUCAGUGCCUUCAAUCCUAAUGCCUCCUUGGGCUCUAGACAUGCAUUUCUACCAGCUUUCUUGAUACAAUAGCUCUAUGUGGUCAUUCCAUGGAUAUCUUAAUUUUGUCAUGUAGGCAAGGGUGUCUGACCUCUGGGAGUCUGCAAUGGAUAUGCAUCAUAAGUCUAAGGUCAAUGUUCAUGGAGUUGAGAUGGGAGAUCCAUGGGGCAAUGUCUUGUAGAGAAGCAAAUUCAAACCAUACAAAUCAUUCAAAUCACUCAUCAUUUUGAAUAAUCUGGGCAGAGAAGGAGAACCAGGGUACUACAGAAAAAAGAAAAACCAGAUAACCAAGAGUGUAGAAGGUGAAGCAUGGAGGCAUUUACCAAGGUGAAGAGGGUGGGGAUGAGGUUUUCUCUGUAGCUUCUUUCUCACCACAGUGCACUGGUCAGAGGUAGGAAUGCAAAUCAAGAAGAUUUAAUGACACCCUUCCAGCACUUUCAGACUUGGAAUCAAGAAAGAACACAAAUAGUUUCUCUCUAAUGGCUGAAUGCUACUGAAUACCCUGCCAAAGAAGCAGAGGAAGGUCAACAGAGAAAGAAGAAAAGAAAGAAAAGAAUUCUUAGCGGCAUUCAAAUCCCUGGUUCCAUUUGACUCUGAGACUCCACUACAUCGCCACCCUUUUCAAUAUAUAGUUUUUCUACAAUAUAGCACCAAUAAAAUCCAUCUCCACUUGAAGGCUAAAGUUCAUCAUCAAAACCAAAACAUUUUGAUGAAGACAGUCACCACAUCCUGUUGAAACUCUUCAAUGACUGGGUUACAUGUUCCUGUAUUUCCAUUUUCUCUGCGGGAUGAUGUGUCUCUGGGGUGCACAACAGUGUCUUGCUUAUCUUGAUGCCCUGUCCAACUUAGCACAAUACCUGGCACAGAGAAGGUGCCAAAACAGCCUGCAUUGCAGUCAUGCAAUCACUGCAGCACACCCCAGUGGUUAAUCUGUGUUUCUCCAGCACUCUGAUUCAGACAGAGAUAACCUACAAGUGUCCUACCAGCAGAUUUAUAGUGGAGGCUUGAUGAGGAUAUAGGAGCAAGCAUGUGACCCUUAGGGCCUGGGCUUGAUUUCGGCUCUACUAUCAAACAGCUUUCCAUUGUCUCAUUUGGUCCGAAUUUCUCACCACUCCUUGUCCAUGCUGACAUGGUUGUGUUCUUCAGGGAUCAGCCUGUGUUUUUAUAGCUUCUUAUGAAUAUGCAGCACAGACGAUGCACAAAAAUUCUUUGAUGAGGAGAAUUGGAACUAAAUAAAGAAGGAGCCUUCAGAUUCACAUGCAUUUGGACAAAUCUCAGAGAAAUGAAG